rnacentral:rRNA from 1 species
UACGGAGGAUCCAAGCGUUAUCCGGAAUCAUUGGGUUUAAAGGGUCCGCAGGCUGUUUUUUAAGUCAGAGGUGAAAUCCUGCAGCUCAACUGUAGAACUGCCUUUGAUACUGGAAAACUUGAGUUAUUGUGAAGUGGUUAGAAUGUGUGGUGUAGCGGUGAAAUGCAUAGAUAUCACACAGAAUACCGAUUGCGAAGGCAGAUCACUAACAAUAUACUGACGCUCAUGGACGAAAGCGUGGGGAGCGAACAGG